rfam:Helianthus annuus linkage group 10, whole genome shotgun sequence.
AUUAUCUAACAUAUUUUUGGCGCAUUAGCUGUAGAUCACAUCAAAACUCCAUAGUUAAGCGUGCUCAGAUGAGAGUAAUACCAGGAUGGAUGACCUCCUAGGAAGUCUCAACUCGGACAACA